rnacentral:lncRNA from 1 species
CAAGCCUGCAUGCAUUUUCUGUUGCUUCCUGAGAAAGACCUGGGAGCCAUGGCUUUAGCCUGAAAGUUCUUGAGUCUUUUUAGGAAGAAUCUGAACUGCAAAACACUUGUCCUUUAUAUUUAUAACUGGUCAAAAUAACGCUGGAGUUAAUGUUACAUCUGUUACAGAAAAUGAAACCUCCUGAGCUGUCCGGUAAUAGAAAGAAGCUGCAGAACCCUGUUGUCUUCAUCUUUUGUUUAACUCAUGCAACAUUUGAAAGCACGUUUGCCUACAAGAAAUAAAACUUAAGUUGUGAAAUGGCUUAUUAAUGAACUCAGAUGACAAGAAACCAAAACAGCGGGCCUGGCUGAAGGAUUCAUCCCUAGCCCUGAAAGCCAGCGGGGUCUUUCUGUAACAUCAAAGGCACAAACAAUUGAACCGACAUGGGGACUUAUUCUGUCCAGCAGCCCUGGUGGCCUCAGACCAUCCGAAGCAAGGGUAACCUACCAGAUGACCAAGUGGAAUACCUUUUAAAGGCUUCAAGACUUUUCUUUCCCACUCCUCCCUGCCCAUGCGAGGGAGGCUCCAUUUUAAAAUGUAACACACACACACAAAAAAACGGAUUUGAAAUAAGGCAUUAGCCUGAGGUAACUUACCCCCACCUUGGCUCCAGAGCAGCUUGGAUUUCCGAUUCUUUGAGCAGGUCAGUGAUUUGGGGAACCAGUAAAAGAGCCGGGCUAUUCUUCUGAAGGUCUCAUGAAAGUCACUUCUUAUGGCCAUAGCGAGAACCAGGAGUGUUCCAGAAUGACUCGCUACAGAGAGCAUGGAUGAGGAGCACAGUAACACCCACAUAUGACACUUUAGCUGUGAACUGCCUUUCAGCCAAUAUGUCUGGGGACCACCUGUUAGCCCUAAAUCCCCUUCCUCUGUCAUUCUUUUGGCUUGUCCUUUAGACCUUGGCCCUCAUAACUAGAAACUGUAUUAAUAGAUGUUCUUUCUAAAGAAAGAGUUUUAAGCUUUCUUAAGAGAAGCUCUAACCUAAUGCAACACUUGGUAAUUUUCAAGCAUGGACCUCCUGACCUCGUUCAUAAAAACACAAUUUUUUCAUAGAGGAGUGAAAAAAAACAGGAUCCACUAACUCAACUUCCAACAGAAUUGUCAGUGGUAAUUUGCAGGACUUAGUGGUGAUGGACAAGCAAUCUCCUAAAGCCAUAGCCUUGAUCCCAUUUGUUUUGUGCAUUUUUACUGGAAAAAUGAAACCUAUUUGAAACUUUAGCAGGAAUUUAUCCCAGAAAAAAAAAAAUUAGUUCUUAUGAGUCAAAAAAUGUGUAAAAGGGCCAGGCACAGGGGCUCACACCUGUAAUCCCAGCACUUUGGGAGGCUGAGGUGGGAGGAUUGCUUGAGCCCAGGAGUUCAAGACCAGCCGAGCCAACAAAGCGAAAUGCUGUCUCUAGAAAAAGGAAAAAAAAAGCUGGGCAUGGUGGCACGUACCUAUAGUCCCAGCUACUCAGGAGGCUGAGGUGGGAGGACUGCUAGAAUCCAGAAGAUGGAAGCUGCAGUGAGCUAUGAUAGCACUACUGCACUCCAGCCUGGGUGACAGAGCAAGACUCUUCAAAAAAAAAAAAAAGAUGCAAAAGACCAUUUUCCCCCAGGGUCCUAUUUUGAUCUUUAACCAUUUAUUGAACAAUUCUCUAGAACUUCUAACAUUGUAACAUUACUGAAUCCAUUUCAGCAUUUCAGCAGACAUCAAUGCCUAGUUGUCUACCACGCAGCUUGUACUGAGGUUCCCCAUCAUCACUCCUAAGACUAUGUCUAACAGUUGGUCCUUGUGCAUUCUGUUUAUGUCAAAAGAAAUAAACUUAUUCAUAUAUUCAUUUAGGAGCUAAGUCGAUUAAACAGCCUGAUGUAAUAUUUGGGCUUGCUUUUUAUAUGCCACAGCAAAUUUUUGGAGCUGAUUUACUCUCUAAAGAGAAACAACGGAUAUUAUUAUAUUGCCAGUUUUUAUUUCCAGAUCAGAUGUUUUUGUUUCCUAUUCCAUUUUCAGUAUUUCUUAGGAAUUUGGACUUUGAUUCUUCUUACAAGUGACAAGUGGGGAGCAAGUCUAACUAAAACAACAGUGUAAGAGUUUUUCAGGUCUUCUUAAAAGUGGGAUGUGGGGUGGAGAAUCCAGCUAAAAUAGUAAAGAUUUCUUUCAAUGUUUUUCCCUUCAACUAUGUGUGUCUGCCCCAGCACUUCUCAGUUUCAAAAAUUUGUUUGAGUAAUUAUAAAUUUUCUGCAGCACUUCCUCAAAGACAAAGCACAACAUAUAAAACACAUCGGAGUGAGGUGAAAUUAGAAACAAAAGACUAGCUCUUGGCCGGGUGCGGUGGCUCAUGCCUGUAAUCCCAGCACUUUGGGAGGCUGAGGCAGGCGGAUAACCUGAGGUCAGGAGUUUGAGACCAGCCUGACCAACAUGGUGAAACCCCGUCUCUAAUAAAAAUACAAAAAUUAGCCG